rnacentral:rRNA from 1 species
GAUGAACGCUGGCGGCAUGCCUAAUACAUGCAAGUCGAACGAACACACGAGUAGCUUUCUCCACUAGCGGUAGCGGCGGACGUAAUGGUAAGACAUGGAUAACCUAGCGAUGAAACUGGGAUAGCUUCGGGAAACCAUAGCUAAUACCGUCUAAUAUUUUGAACCGCAUGGUGCAAAGGUAAAAUACGGUUUUCCUGUCUCUUAUAGAUGGAUCCGCACCGCAUUAGCUAGUUGGUAAGGUAACGGCUUACCAAGGCAACGUUGCGUAGCCGACCUGAGAGGGUGAUCGGCCACACUGGAACUGAGACACGGUCCAGACUCCUACGGGAGGCAGCAGUAGGGAAUCUUCCGCAAUGGGCGAAAGCCUGACGGAGCAACGCCGCGUGAGUGAUGAAGGUCUUCGGAUCGUAAAACUCUGUUAUCAGGGAAGAACAAAUGUGCAAGUAAAUAUGCACGUCUUGACGGUACCUAAUCAGAAAGCAACGGCUAACUACGUG